UAUUUUAUUCAUGUUUGUGGGUGUAAUUUCGUCCAGUUGCAGAUACUACUAUCCUUUUUGGAAUGAUCUGCCUUUGAAAAACAAUGGUUCUAUCUGACAAAAGCGAACAGAUCCUGUAGUUGUAAUUGAUACACUAAAUCAGUGUUUCUCAACCUUUUUUUAGGCGAGGCACCCUUUCAAUUCAUGGAAAUUUCAAGGCACCCCAAACCAAGUAGCCAUAUAGCAUCACAUCCGAUACCACACAAGCUUAGAAUGUAACACAUUAGGAGACACACAACCUAGUAGCACGACCUACGUUCAAAGUUACAGCUGGGGUGACCAAUAUUUACUUUAUUGUGCGUAAAUGGCAGAUCAUAGAUUCCACUGACUAACAUUAACUUAUCAAUUUUGACAAAUAUGUUUUAUGUUAUAUAAUUUAUUUAUCAGCCACGUUUCCGCGGCACCCCUGAGGGGGCCCUACGGCACCCCAGGGUGCCCCGGCACCCCUGUUGAGAAACACUGCACUACAUUAUGAUAUUCCUAUGUGUGCGCGCGCACGCGCCAAGUUUUCAAUUCAACACACUGGGACACUUUUCAGUCUUUGAGGUUGCUGGAAUCAACACAGACUACCUCCAUGCACCUUAUCAGAACACUUUGCAUGUUUUUGUAUACUUGUCCCCUUUGUGUAUUGCUGCUAAUCUUUCUCUUUCUAGGUUCUGUUGGUUGCAUGCAGAUUGUGCCAGAUGAUUUAUCUGUCUAUGGUCUAAGCAUGGGCUCUGUGCUAAUAUGCAAUUUGUGCUCUUUUUUCCCUCAGGUCAACAGCCGACAGGGUCCUUCCACAACCACAUACUUAUGCCAGUAAAAGCCACAGCUUUUCUCCUCCAAUCCAAGAAGCCUGGACUGCAGUCACCAUCUCAACACACCAACCAAGAGAAAGGCGGAUGGCUCAAUUCAAUAUGGAAAAUUGCACAAUAAAAGUUCCAGGACAUGAAGGCUGCGUACUGUGAACGUCAACCUUCAGGGCACCGUCCUGCGCAGAAGACUUUCUACCCAAAGAGGGAUGGCUGACCGCAGACACUCACAACCAGCACAGACGCCUCCAACCUCAAACCAGGCCCUUCACAGUUGCUGCACUUACCCACCUUCCCAGAGUUUUUGUGUGGUAAUGACAACUGUAAAUAUAGUAUAAAGUAAUGUAUCUAGUGUCAUGUGUUUAAAUUGUCCAUACAUUUCAAUGACA